AAUGCAAGUUUACCCUAGGGGGAAAGGCGUCCGAAGGCUCAGGGGGGGAAGGGUUUGGAGGAAAAUGCGAAGCGGCAAUGAAUUUGGACGGAUUGGUUUGAUGGGGAUGGGCGAAAGAACGGCGGAAAUCGAUGGGAGAUAUGUGGAGGAAGGGAAGAAGAGUAGGCAAAAAAGAAAGCGAGUAGGCAGAAAAAAUGGAUGAAAAGAGAGAGAAGCAAGAAGGUUUUAUGAUUAUAAAUGUAAAAU